rnacentral:rRNA from 1 species
GACGAACGCUGGCGGCGUGCUUAACACAUGCAAGUCGAACGGAAAGGCCCUGCUUUUGUGGGGUGCUCGAGUGGCGAACGGGUGAGUAACACGUGAGUAACCUGCCCUUGACUUUGGGAUAACUUCAGGAAACUUGGUCUAAUACCGGAUAGGAGCUCCUGCUGCAUGGUGGGGGUUGGAAAGUUUCGGCGGUUGGGGAUGGACUCGCGGCUUAUCAGCUUGUUGGUGGGGUAGUGGCUUACCAAGGCUUUGACGGGUAGCCGGCCUGAGAGGGUGACCGGCCACAUUGGGACUGAGAUACGGCCCAGACUCCUACGGGAGGCAGCAGUGGGGAGUAUUGCACAAUGGGCGGAAGCCUAAUGCAGCAACGCCGCGUGCGGGAUGACGGCCUUCGGGUUGUAAAACGCUUUCGCCUGUGACGAAGCGUGAGUGACGGUAAUGGGUAAAGAAGCACCGGCUAACUACGUG